GUAAAACUUCCUUUGUUUGUACAAUAUGAUCAAUAUACACUAAGUGGCCACUUUGUUAGGUACACUUCUAAUAGUCCUGUUAAUCAUUUUUUUUUUUUCACUUUAAUAAUUUAGCAUUAUGUUGAGCUUGCAGUUCAUUGUUAUAUGUUUGAUUAUAAGGAUAUCUUUGUUACUCAAACUAAACCACCCAGAAUGGUCCCAACAAUCAUUGUAUGUGAUCAGUCUAUCUACAGAAGUACGGAGAAGCAAUCUAUCUACAGGAGUCUGCUGUUGCGUGUAAGUGUGUUUAUUUCAUUGGUUUACUUUGUUGUAGAGUGGUAUUCAUUGCUAGACUUGUGCUGUUUGUUUACUGUCUUGAACUCGCGUCGCCUAAACGUGGGUUGGUGUGUGUGUGCUUUAUUGUUUUGACUUGUCUCAGGUAAUUCACUGCUAGAUUUAGCGUUGGUUGUCCAGUGUGUGUGUAAAACUAUCAUGGUUUUUAGUGUCUAUAAACAGUGCUUCACUUGUUUUAGAGUAUUAUUUAUUGCUAAAGUGCAGCAUAAUUUAUUUGCGGUGUAUGGAACUCGCGCUUGUCACCUCGUGCGACCCUUAGUUUCUGUUGACCACGUGACUAGCUUUGUUGUGCUAAGUAGCAUUAAAGCAUGUCCAGCUUUUUUCACUGAACGGCUCAUUAUCAUCGCGUAUAUAUUUGACUUGAAUGCUGAUGCGGCAGCGGAAGUGGUAGCCCUCGUGUAAAGCCCUCCUCGUGUGAAGACCUACUUGGGUAAAGACAAGUGAGUCUGCCUGUGCGAGUCCACCGAGCAAGGACAACGACAAGGCGCCACUCACCAUAAGUAUCUUGUUAUUGUGUCUCUUUUCAUAUUUUCCUUCUAUAUACUAACAUGUCUACUUCAUGAAUAACACAUGCCUUCAAGCACAUCCCUGUUAUCUGUUACAGACCGUUUACACAAUAUCGAUGCAAGACCAAAUUCAACCCACACAACCUACGGCCACUUUGCACUUCAGCACCUGCUCCGCUCUCUUUCUCAGUGGGACUCUGGAACUGCCAGUCAGCUGUGAACAAAGCUGACUUCAUUCCAGCCUUUGCCACGCAGUCCACCCUCAGCAUCCUGGCACUGACAGAAACAUGGAUACGUCCAGAGGAUACAGCAACACCUGCUGCUCUCUCCAACAACUUCUCCUUCUCCCACACCCCUCGACACACUGGUAGGGGUGGGGGAACAGGUUUGCUCAUUCAUAACAACUGGACUUUUUCACCACACUCUUCACUAUGUAACAAUACUAGUUUUGAAUUCCAUGCUAUUACUACAAUGCAACCCACAAAAAUACAUGUUGUUGUCAUCUAUCGCCCUCCAGGUCAGCUGACAAACUUUCUUGAGGAGUUGGAUGUCCUGCUGUCCUCCUUGCUGGUUGAUAGUAGGCCACUUGUGGUUCUUGGUGAUUUCAACAUACACCAAGACAAGCCCCAGGCCACUGAAAUGAAUACUCUCCUGGCCUCAUUUGACUUGGAAAAACUACACACCACAGCAACUCACAGAUCGGGCAACCAGCUGGACCUCAUUUUUACACGCCAGUAUGUGCUACACCACCCAGCCCCUGGCUGUCUGAUGUCCUUCGUGAACAUCGGACUGUCCUCAGGGCAGCUGAGAGGAGAUGGCGGAAAUCUAAAGAUCCAGCAGAUCUAGAACAAGCUGCUGGAUGACUAUCAGUCAGGCUUCAAAAGUGGACACUCCACUGAGACUGCCCUGUGUCUGUCACUGAGUCGCUGAGAUGGGCGAAAGCUGAAUCCAGAUCCGACUAAAUUUCACAGACCACAUCUCAAAGACCGCAAGAUCAUGUAGAUUUACACUCUACAAUAUCAGGAAGAUAAGACCCUUCCCCUCUGAACAUGCCACACAACUGCUUGUCCAGUCACUUGUCAUAACUAGACUGGACUACUGUAACGCUCUCAUUGCAGGCCUCCCUGCAUGUGCAAUUAGACCCCUGAAAUGAUCCAGAAUGCAGCAGCACGUCUGGUCUUUAAUGAACCAAAGAGAGCACAUGUUGCACCACUCCUUGUCUCUCUCCAUUGGCUGCCAGUUGAUGCACGUAUCAAAUUCAAGGCUCUGAUGCUGGCAUACAGAACAGUCACUGGGUCUUCUCCAGCAUACCUAAAAUCAUUUAUGCAGAGCUACGCGCCCACUAGAAGCCUGCGGUCGGCUAAGGAACAUCGCCUUGUACCAACACAAAGAGGCACCAAAACACUUUCCCGGACUUUCAGCUUCAUCGUACCACGUUGGUGGAACGACCUUCCCAACUCCAUCCGUGAAGCUGACUCACUCUCUGUCUUCAAAAAACGAUUAAAAACACAUCUUUUCCAUGAGCACUUAACCAGUCAUUAAAAAAAAUAAUUCCUGUUGCACUUUAUUCUGUUUUGAAUACUAUUAUGAUGCUAGUGAAACUUUGUAAUACAGCACUUUUCAUACCACUU